rnacentral:rRNA from 1 species
GACGAACGCUGGCGGCGUGCUUAACACAUGCAAGUCGAACGAAAAUACCAAGCUUGCUUGGUUGAUUAGUGGCGAACGGGUGAGUAACACGUGAGUAACCUGCCCCUUACUUUCCUGGAUAACUGCUCGAAAGGGUAGCUAAUACGGGAUAUUCUGACCAGUCUGCAUGGGUUGGUUUGGAAAGGUUGUUUUUCUGGUAAGGGAUGGGCUCGCGGCCUAUCAGCUUGUUGGUGGGGUGAUGGCCUACCAAGGCUUUGACGGGUAGCCGGCCUGAGAGGGUGGACGGUCACACUGGGACUGAGAUACGGCCCAGACUCCUACGGGAGGCAGCAGUGGGGAAUAUUGCACAAUGGGCGCAAGCCUGAUGCAGCGACGCCGCGUGAGGGAUGAAGGCCUUCGGGUUGUAAACCUCUUUCGUCAGGGAACAAGGCACUACGUUUUGGUGGUGUUGAGGGUACCUGGAUAAGAAGCGCCGGCUAACUACGUGCCAGCAGCCGCGGUAAUACGUAGGGCGCAAGCGUUGUCCGGAAUUAUUGGGCGUAGAGAGCUCGUAGGCGGCUGGUCGCGUCUGUCGUGAAAACUUCCGGCUCAACCGGGGGCUUGCGGUGGGUACGGGCCGGCUAGAGUGCGGUAGGGGUAACUGGAACUCCUGGUGUAGCGGUGGAAUGCGCAGAUAUCAGGAAGAACACCGAUGGCGAAGGCAGGUUACUGGGCCGUUACUGACGCUGAGGAGCGAAAGCGUGGGGAGCGAACAGG